UCUCCGUUGGUGAACCAGCGGAGGGAUCAUUACCGAGUGCAAACUCAUAACCCUUUGUGAACCAAUAUCUGUUGCUUCGGCGGCUCGCUCUCGGGCGAGCCCGCCGGUAAUAUUAGUAUCUCUGUUUGAACCCGACGAUACUUCUGAGUGUUCUUAGCGAACAGUUAAAACUUUUAACAACGGAUCUCUUGGCUCUA
rnacentral:misc_RNA from 1 species